rnacentral:rRNA from 1 species
GACGAACGCUGGCGGCGUGCUUAACACAUGCAAGUCGAACGCUGAAGCUUGGUGCUUGCACUGGGUGGAUGAGUGGCGAACGGGUGAGUAAUACGUGAGUAACCUGCCCUCGACUCUGGGAUAAGCCUGGGAAACUGGGUCUAAUACUGGAUACGACAUGUCACCGCAUGGUGGUGUGUGGAAAGGGUUUUACUGGUUUUGGAUGGGCUCACGGCCUAUCAGCUUGUUGGUGGGGUAAUGGCUCACCAAGGCGACGACGGGUAGCCGGCCUGAGAGGGUGACCGGCCACACUGGGACUGAGACACGGCCCAGACUCCUACGGGAGGCAGCAGUGGGGAAUAUUGCACAAUGGGCGGAAGCCUGAUGCAGCGACGCCGCGUGAGGGAUGACGGCCUUCGGGUUGUAAACCUCUUUCAGCACGGAAGAAGCGAAAGUGACGGUACGUGCAGAAGAAGCGCCGGCUAACUACGUG